rnacentral:lncRNA from 1 species
CCGCGGCCGGCGACGCUGUCCCGCUCCUGGAUUGUCUUCCUCCUAGACCAGGUUAUUCACUGGUUCCUCUCCUCUGCCUUCACGAGUACUAUUAAUUAGAACAAUAUUUUGCAGCUUAGCUAUGAUAAUUAUGAGCCUUUUUAUGUAGCACAGCUAAAAUUCAGUCAAUUUUCCGAUUUUGUUACUACUCCAUGCGUGUACAAAAUCCAUGAGUAUACAGUUUGUAGAGCAGAGGAUAUAGUAUAUCAGUAGGUUUUAUGACUAGAAUUAUUUUGUAAGACUUUUGAUUUGUUCCGGCUAAUAACCGCUUUAGAACAGAGGAGUCAUCUACUAAUUUUCAUAUAAAGAUCCUACUCCGUAUAAGAUAGUUGGAGUGAGUGUUUAUACAGCAGAGAAAUUAGGCCAUGGUAGAAACAGAAACGCUAGCCCCGGACAUAAUUUACCUGUCAGUGUUGGUAUUGAUUUGUCCACCCUCAAACGACUUCGACCACCAGAUCCUAGCUUCCCUGUACUGUAGAACUUGCACAGUGACGGGAAACAGGUGGCCAUUUAUUCAUGCUAAUUAACCCGCAAGAUGCGUGGAUGGAUGCAGGUGUUCACGUACCUGAUCCUGGCGGCCGGCGCGGCGUCGGCAGAGCUGCUCUACCUGGCGUACAACGGCGACAAGGAGGUGACGUGGAGCGAGGCGUGCGGCGUGUUCGGCGGCUUCUGCAGGCAGGCCCGAACGUCGGUGGCCAUCACCUUCGGCUCCGUCGUCUGCUACAUCCUCCUCUCCCUCAUCUCGUCCUACCGCCUCUUCAGCGCCUACGACGCACCCAUGCCCUCGCUCGGCAACAAGGGCGUCGAGAUCGCUGCCUUCCCGCGCUGAGCCGAGAGGAUCCCUGGCUGCUCUGGCUUGGCUACUCGAUGACGGGUCAAAACUCAAAACACGUACGUACGUAGUAGUAUCGCUGUGUGUGUAGGCGAACGAAAUAAUCUGUAAGGGCUCAUAGUUAAUUUCAAGCUACAUAUAGUGCAUCUGCCUCUCUUCUUUUUACUUGAUUCUAUAUACACUGUACUAGCUUUGAAUCUUCUGCUGUGAGGCUGUGGUGGAUUAAUUGAUGCGUUCCAAAAAUGCGAACCUAGUUCCGUUGCAGGCACCCAGGUGAUCUAUGUAACUACGAUGAGCUUCCUCAUUUAAGGAGUUCAGUUGCUUGUAAGGUGCUUGAAGCAAAGCAAAAUCAAUACUCUUUCCGUUCACAAAUAUAAGAUAUAAGGUGUUCUAACUUUUUUAA